GUGUCGGGGAAAAAUUUGAUUUAUAAUAUUAAUUAUUAUAUAUAGAUUAUUUUCCACUAAUUUUUCUGAGGAUAAGCUCAGAAAAAAGUUAAGAUAUUUUUAAUUAAAGUUGUUGCGUGGGCUUAAAAUUGGCCACCAUAAAAGUUUGUUAUAAAAUAAUAACUUUAAAUCUAAAAAUAAAUAUAUUUUGAUCUAACAUCUUACGGAGACAAGAACUUCAACUAAAGUAAGUUUUACGCCUAUGCUAGGAUGAGUAUUAAAAACAACUUUAUACAAGAAAAUCUUUUAUUUUUUUCUUCAGAAAAAAUAUUUGUAGAAAAAAAUUAAUUGGAAGGAACUCGGCAAAUUUAGUGCUUUCGCCUGUUUAUCAAAAACAUGGCUCUCUGUUUACAUAAAUAUAGGGAGUCGAGCCUGCCCAGUGAAUUUUUAAACGGCCGCGGUACUCUGACCGUGCAAAGGUAGCAUAAUCAUUUGCCUUAUAAUUGAAGGCUAGUAUGAAUGGUUUGACGAGAGCAACACUGUCUCCUUUUUAUUUUCAAGAACUUAACUUUUAGGUGAAGAGGCCUAAAUUUUAUUGAAGGACAAGAAGACCCUAUCGAGCUUAAAAGACAUUAUAGAAGUUUAUAUAUUUCUAAAUAAAUUUUCUAUUAAGCUUUUUAGUUGGGGCGACUAAGGAACAAAAAAAGCUUCUUGCUGAUAAUAGACAGUCAUGUUUAGAUCCGAUAAUAAUCGAUCAAAGAAAUUAGUUACCGUAGGGAUAACAGCAUAAUCUCUCUUGAGAGACCUAAUCGAAAGAGGGGGUUGUGACCUCGAUGUUGGACUAGAAUAUCCUAAAGAUGCAGAAGUCUUUGAAA
rnacentral:rRNA from 1 species